UCGGUUCCCACUCGGUGGGCGAGGGUAGGGCAGAGCUCCCCGAUUCUAAGAGCUGCAACUACAUAAGGCAAAUAAAGCACCCAGGGCAGUAGCCAAACUUAACGAAGGAGGAAACGAAUGGCAUUUAAAGAAACUGACAAACUGGUACUAAAAUCAUAAAAUAUGUAAAUGGGGGAUCCAAGAUGGUGGACUACAAGAAGGCUGUGUUCCUUGUCCCUCCAUAACUCGGGUCUCAUGCAAAGGAUGUCUGUUUCCUGGUUGGAGCCCACGAUCAAUUGGCCCCAUUGCUUUGGACCUAUGGUCAAACAGCACAUCAAGGUGGGAGUGCACAGUGGAUCAAAACCACCCGCCUCAUGACCAGGAGGCAGAAAGAAGAAGGGAUGAGGAUCCCACAGUCCCGUUCUGGAACAUGUUUUCAAUGACCUAAAGAUCUCCCACUGUGUAAUACAAAGCUGCUCCCCUGCCUUUCCAUUGCAUCACAACCUAACUUGUCAGUCUGAAAGCUGCUCUCCCCGCCCUUUCUGGGGCAGCCAUUUCCC